rnacentral:rRNA from 1 species
UACGGGGGGGUAAGCGUUGUCCGGAAUUACUGGGCGUAAAGAGCUCGUAGGUGGUUUGUCGCGUUGUUCGUGAAAACUCACAGCUCAACUGUGGGCGUGCGGGCGAUACGGGCAGACUGGAGUACUGCAGGGGGAGACUGGAAUUCCUGGUGUAGCGGUGGAAUGCGUAGAUAUCGUAAGGAAGACCAGUGGCGAAGGCGGGUCUCUGGACAGUUCCUGACGCUGAGGCACGAAGGCCAGGGGAGCAAACGGG